GCCUGGGUGGCUCAGUCAGUUGAGCGUCUGACUUUGACGCUCAUAAUCUCAUGGCUUGUGGGUUCAAGCCCCGCAUCGGGCU
rnacentral:tRNA from 1 species